UGAGGAAUAUUGGUCAAUGGGCGAGAGCCUGAACCAGCCAAGUGGCGUGCAGGAUGACGGCCCUAUGGGUUGUAAACUGCUUUUAUGUGGGGAUAAAGUGCGUGACGUGUCAUGCAUUGCAGGUACCACAUGAAUAAGGACCGGCUAAUUCCGUGCCAGCAGCCGCGGUAAUACGGAAGGUCCGGGCGUUAUCCGGAUUUAUUGGGUUUAAAGGGAGCGUAGGCUGUCUAUUAAGCGUGUUGUGAAAUUUACCGGCUCAACCGGUGGCUUGCAGCGCGAACUGGUCGACUUGAGUAUGCAGGAAGUAGGCGGAAUUCAUGGUGUAGCGGUGAAAUGCUUAGAUAUCAUGACGAACUCCGAUUGCGCAGGCAGCUUACUGUAGCAUAACUGACGCUGAUGCUCGAAAGUGCGGGUAUCAAACAGG
rnacentral:rRNA from 1 species